UCACUGCAGAGGAGUCCCACAAUAGGACGAAACGGUCGUCCAGUAC
rnacentral:hammerhead_ribozyme from 1 species